GACGAACGCUGGCGGCGUGCCUAAUGCAUGCAAGUAGAACGCUGAAGCGAGGAGCUUACUCUUCUUGGAUGAGUUGCGAACGGGUGAGUAACGCGUAGGUAACCUGCCUUGUAGCGGGGGAUAACUAUUGGAAACGAUAGCUAAUACCGCAUAACAAUGGAUGACACAUGUCAUUUAUUUGAAAGGGGCAAUUGCUCCACUACAAGAUGGACCUGCGUUGUAUUAGCUAGUAGGUGAGGUAAUGGCUCACCUAGGCGACGAUACAUAGCCGACCUGAGAGGGUGAUAGGCCACCCUGGGACUGAGACACGGCCCAGACUCCUACGGGAGGCAGCAGUAGGGAAUCUUCGGCAAUGGGGGCAACCCUGACCGAGCAACGCCGCGUGAGUGAAGAAGGUUUUCGGAUCGUAAAGCUCUGUUGUAAGUCAAGAACGGGUGUGAGAGUGGAAAGUUCACACUGUGACGGUAGCUUACCAGAAAGGGACGGCUAACUACGUG
rnacentral:rRNA from 1 species